rnacentral:rRNA from 2 species
UGGGGAAUAUUGCACAAUGGGCGCAAGCCUGAUGCAGCCAUGCCGCGUGUGUGAAGAAGGCCUUCGGGUUGUAAAGCACUUUCAGCGAGGAGGAAGGGUAGUGUGUUAAUAGCACAUUGCAUUGACGUUACUCGCAGAAGAAGCACCGGCUAACUCCGUGCCAGCAGCCGCGGUAAUACGGAGGGUGCAAGCGUUAAUCGGAAUUACUGGGCGUAAAGCGCACGCAGGCGGUUUGUUAAGUCAGAUGUGAAAUCCCCGCGCUUAACGUGGGAACUGCAUUUGAAACUGGCAAGCUAGAGUCUUGUAGAGGGGGGUAGAAUUCCAGGUGUAGCGGUGAAAUGCGUAGAGAUCUGGAGGAAUACCGGUGGCGAAGGCGGCCCCCUGGACAAAGACUGACGCUCAGGUGCGAAAGCGUGGGGAGCAAACAGGAUUAGAUACCCCCGUAGUCC